rnacentral:miRNA from 1 species
UACACUUUGUUUCAUUUGAGACAGGGUCUCACUCUGUAGCCCAGGCUGGCUUUGAACUCAUAAUUCUCCUGCCUUCUGUCUCCUGAGUGCUGGGAUUAUAGGUGAAUGUCACCAUGCCC